CUGCGCCUAUAAAGAAGAAAAUGUACAAAUUUGCAAAAGAUAUUCAUAACUGAAUUAUGGCUUUUAAUGUGGAAAUUUCCUUUUCUAGUCCAAGCAACAACCAGGAAGAAUUAUUUGACAAGAUCCUAAGUGGACAUUUUGAAUUCAUUUCACCAUUCUGGGACGAGGUUUCGAGUUCCGCGAAGGUAAGACCCACGUAUACACAUACUCGUCUACUCUUUUACUCUUUUACAUGUUUCAGUCAUUUGACUACGGCCAUGCUGGAGCACUGCCUUUAGUCUAUAUAUACAUAUAUAGUGGCUAAUACCAUAGCGGAUCUAUUUUUAGCGCAAGAGUCGACCAUAUGGUGGUCACCCUCUUAUAUUUGUGUAUAUAUGUAUAUAUAUACUCUUUUACUCUUUUACUUGUUUCAGUCAUUUGACUGCGGCCAUGCUGGAGCACCGCCUUUAAGCGAGCAAAUCGACCCCCGGGACGUAUUCUUUGUUAGCCCAGUCUCUUUUGUGACGGGCACGUAAACACACCAGCAUCGGUUGUCAAGCAAUGCUAGGGGGACAAACAGAGACACACACAUAUAUAUAUAUACAUAUAUACGACGGGCUUCUUUCAGUUUCCGUCUACCAAAUCCACUCUCAAAGCAUUGGUCGGCCCGAGGCUCUAGCAGAAGACAUUUGCCCAGUAUGCCACGCAGUGGGACUGAACAGAGAACCAUGUGGUUGGUAAGCAAGCUACUUACCACACAGCCACUCCUGUGCCUAUAUAUAUGUUAUUUUAUUUUACUUGUUUCAGUCAUUUGACUGCGGCCAUGCUGGAGCACCAUCUUUUAGUCGAGCAAAUCGACCCCGGGACUUAUUCUUUGUAAGCCCAGUACUUAUUCUAUCGGUCUCUUUUGCCGAACCGCUAAGUGACGGGGACAUAAACACACCAGCAUCGGUUGUCAAGCAAUGCUAGAAGGACAGAGACACACAAACAUAUACACACACAUAUAUAUAUACAUAUAUACGACGGGCUUCUUUCAGUUUCCGUCUACCAAAUCCACUCACAAGGCAUUGGUCGGCCCGGGGCUAUAGCAGAAGACACUUGCCCAAGAUGCCACGCAGUGGGACUGAACCUGGAACCAUGUGGUUGGUUAGCAAGCGACUUACCACACAGCCACUCCUACACCUAUAUAUAUAUACGACGGGCUUCUUUCAGUUUCCGUCUACCAAAUCCACUCACAAGGCUUAUAUAUAUAUAUAUAUAUAUAUAUAUAUAUAUAUAUAUAUAUAUACUCUUUAACUCUUUUACUUGUUUCAGUCAUUUGACUGCGGCCAUGCUGGAGCACCGCCUUUAAGCGAGCAAAUCGACCCCCGGGACUUAUUCUUUGUAAGCCCAGUCUCUUUUGUGACGGGCACGUAAACACACCAGCAUCGGUUGUCAAGCAAUGCUAGGGGGACAAACAGAGACACACACAUAUAUAUAUACAUAUAUACGACAGGCUUCUUUCAGUUUCCGUCUACCAAAUCCACUCACAAGGCAUUGGUCGGCCCGAGGCUCUAGCAGAAGACACUUGCCCAAGAUGCCACGCAGUGGGACUGAACAGAGAACCAUGUGGUUGGUAAGCAAGCUACUUACCACACAGCCACUCCUACACCUAUAUAUAUAUACGACGGGCUUCUUUCAGUUUCCGUCUACCAAAUCCACUCACAAGGCUUUAUAUAUAUAUAUAUAUAUAUAUAUACUCUUUUACUCUUUUACUUGUUUCAGUCAUUUGAUGCGGCCAUGCUGGAGCACCGCCUUUAAGCGAGCAAAUCGACCCCCGGGACGUAUUCUUUGUAAGCCCAGUCUCUUUUGUGACGGGCACGUAAACACACCAGCAUCGGUUGUCAAGCAAUGCUAGGGGGACAAACACAAACACACACACUUAUAUAUAUAUACAUAUAUAAGACAGGCUUCUUUCAGUUUCCGUCUACCAAAUCCACUCACAAGGCAUUGGUCGGCCCGAGGCUCUAGCAGAAGACACUUGCCCAAGAUGCCACGCAGUGGGACUGAACCCGGAACCAUGUGGUUGGUAAGCAAUCUACUUACCACACAGCCACUCCUGUGCCUAUAUAUAUGUUAUUUUAUUUUACUUGUUUCAGUCAUUUGACUGUGGCCAUGCUGGAGCACCGCCAUUUUAAUCGAGCAACUCGACCCCGGGACUUAUUUUUGUAAGCCCAGUACUGAUUCUAUCGGUCUCUUUUGCCGAACCGCUAAGUGACGGGAACGUAAACACACCAGCAUCGGUUGUCAGGCAAUGCUAGGGGGACAAACACAGACACACAAACACACACACACAUACAUAUAUACAUAUAUACGACGGGCUUCUUUCAGUUUCUGUCUACCAAAUCCACUCACAAGGCUUUAUAUAUAUAUAUAUAUAUAUACUCUUUUACUCUUUUACAUGUUUCAGUCAUUUGACUGCGGCCAUGCUGGAGCACCGCCUUUAGUCGAGAAACUCGACGUCGGGACUUAUUCUUUUGUAAGCCCAGUACUUAUUCUAUCAGUCUAUUUUGCCGAACCGCUACGUUACGGGGACGUAAACACACCAGCAUCGGUUGUCAAGCUAUGUUGGGGGGACAAAUACACACACACAAUCACACACACACACACACACACACACACACACACAUAUACAUAUAUAUAUACAUAUAUACGACGGGCUUCUUUCAGUUUCCGUCUACCAAAUCCACUCACAAGACUUUGUUCAGCCCAAGGCUUUAGUAGAAGAUACUUGCCCAAGAUGCCACGCAGUGGACUGAACUCGGAACCAUGUGGUUGGUAAGCAAUCUACUUAACACACAGCCACUCCUACGACUAUACUACUCCUAGGUAUACUUGAUAGACAUUAAUAUCCCAUGUGUAAUAAUUGUAUAUUUCUUUAUUGCCCACAAGGGCUAAACAUAGAGGGGACAAACAAGGACAGACAAAGGGAUUAAGUCGAUUAUAUCGACCCCAGUGCGUAACUGGUACUUUAUUUAUCGACCCUGAAAUGAUGAAAGGUAAAAUCGACCUCGGCGGAAUUUGAACUCAGGACGUAACAGCAGACGAAAUACCUAUUUCUUUACUACCCACAAGGGGCUAAACACCGAGAAGACAUACAAGGACAGACAAACGGAUUAAGUCGAUUAUAUCGACCCCAGUGCGUAACUGGUACUUUAUUUAUCGACCCUGAAAUGAUGAAAGGUAAAGUCGACCUCGGUGGAAUUUGAACUCAGAACGUAAUGAUUUGAAAUAUUUUCUUUCUUUUUUUUUAUACAGGACUUGAUUGAACACAUGCU
rnacentral:lncRNA from 1 species